CACAGCCCCGCGCCGGCGGCUCCGGAGCACUCCAGGGCUGCUCUUAUUUAUAUGCAUCUUUUGCACCGAGCCAUUUUAUAAUCGACUGCGGAGCGGCACUCCAGCGCCGGCGACGGCUCAGAUGGAUCGUGCAGGACACAAAAUACAAAUAAAGGGUUCAUUCCCCCAACUUCUAUUGUUGGGUGUUUUCACUUCUCCUUGAUGCCUUGAGGAAGGAGCUGAGGGGAGGGAUCUGUGCUGUCCCAAAUUCGUGAGGGUCCUCCUUGCUGUGUCCUGAGAGGAAGAGGCUGGUGCAGGAAUUGAUUUCCUGGAGUUCCUGGUAUUAAUGAAGCCGCUGACCGCAGAUCUCCCGCAGCAAUAUCCCUCUCCCCACGAUAAUUCUCCAGACUCCAAACUUUUCAAAUGAGUUUUCGCAGUUUAAAAUUAAUAAUUGUUCUGUCUAGAACAAGGAU